AACGGCCAUACCAUGCUGAAUAUACCGGUUCUCGUUAGAUUACCGAAGUCAAGCAUCAUUGGGCGCGGUCAGUACUUGGGUGGGUGACCACCUGGGAACACCGCGUGCCGUU
rnacentral:rRNA from 1 species